rnacentral:rRNA from 1 species
UACGUAGGGGGCUAGCGUUGUUCGGAAUUACUGGGCGUAAAGCGCACGUAGGCGGCCCGUUAAGUCCGCUGUGAAAUCCUGGAGCUCAACUCCAGAACUGCCUUUGAUACUGGCAACCUAGAGACUGGAAGAGGUUAGUGGAAUUCCCAGUGUAGAGGUGAAAUUCGUAGAUAUUGGGAAGAACACCAGUGGCGAAGGCGGCUAACUGGGCCAGCACUGACGCUGAGGUGCGAAAGCGUGGGGAGCAAACAGG